UGCAACUUACCUUUUACUGGGGGAUAGCCUUCCGAAAGGGAGAUUAAUACCGCAUAAUAUCAUUGACUGGCAUCGGUUGGUGAUUAAAACUUUGGUGGUAAAAGAUGGGCAUGCGUCCGAUUAGCUAGUUGGCGGGGUAGUGGCCCACCAAGGCUGUGAUCGGUCGGGGACCUGAGAGGGCGAUCC
rnacentral:rRNA from 1 species